AGUUACCACAUAAAUACUCUUUAAGCCAUUGCAAAACUCUAAUCGACACAAAAUAAUAUCAAUAUAUAAAUGUUAUUAUAUAAUAUUAUUAAAAGUCUAAGACAUCGUAAUACAAACAAAUCUUUAAAUUUCAUCCAGAUACACAACACAACCUCAUCCAGUCAACAUAAAAGAACAAAAAAAGAAGAGCAAGCAGGACCACAAUAAUGCAUGACAUGG
rnacentral:misc_RNA from 1 species